rnacentral:rRNA from 1 species
UACGGGGGGGGCAAGCGUUGUUCGGAAUUACUGGGCGUAAAGGGCUCGUAGGCGGCCAACUAAGUCAGACGUGAAAUCCCUCGGCUUAACCGGGGAACUGCGUCUGAUACUGGAUGGCUUGAGUUUGGGAGAGGGAUGCGGAAUUCCAGGUGUAGCGGUGAAAUGCGUAGAUAUCUGGAGGAACACCGGUGGCGAAGGCGGCAUCCUGGACCGGCAUUGACGCUGAGGCGCGAAAGCGUGGGGAGCGAACAGG